UCAUCAUGCCCUUUAUGUCCUGGGCUACACACGUGCUACAAUGGUUGGUACAGAGGGCAGCUAUAUAGUGAUAUAAUGCAAAACUCGAAAGCCAAUCCCAGUUCGGAUUGUAGGCUGCAACUCGCCUACAUGAAGUCGGAGUUGCUAGUAAUCGCGGAUCAGAAUGUCGCGGUGAAUGCGUUCCCGGGUCUUGUACACACCGCCCGUCACACCAUGGGAGUUGAUAAUACCCGAAGCCUGUGACCUAAUUGAGGAGCAGUCCGAAGGUAGGAUUGAUGACUGGGGUGAAGUCGUAACAAGGUAGCCGUAUCGGAA
rnacentral:rRNA from 1 species